UGUUUAAAAUACAUUUUAAAACAACAGUUACAACUUUUAAAGAUAAUCCCAUUUUAAAAAAUAAAAUUUGCCUGUAUGUACUCUUUCUCUAACUAAUUAUCCUCUACGCCUGCUAGUAAAUUGUCGAUGUCCCUGCAGAUGGUAUUUCUGGUGCAUUUUCACUAGCGGCGGCGACUUUAGUAAAUCUGCCCCAUGGAGUUAGAGGGAAGAAGACAGAAGGUGAAUUUCAGAAUUAUGCGUCCCAUAAAGGAAGGAUUUUUUUCUCGGCAUGGACAGUAGCUGCCAUCUUGCAGAAGGCUAACAUUCUAUUCUACUAUUUUCUCUAGUCGGCCCUCCUGUCAGUGCAAACUUGUGGGUUAAUGUCAAUCUCAUCUCUCCCCUGGUAUAUAAGUUGUGGCUCCACCUCCCAUUGCCAGUUCUUUGUCCUGCCUUGGAGGUGAAGGACAGAUUUUAUAAGUGUAUUACAUUCUUUUUCUUAUUUUAUUAUCUGGAUCACUUUCAUUUUACAGAACAAAGGCACAACACCUAGAGGACACGCAGAGCUGUCCAUCAGGUGUGCACAGCAGGCGAACUGCAGAAUCUGCCCAGGAAGGGCACAGAUUAGGGUACGCAGAGCUACUGGCUGCAUUCCAGAACUGCUGUUGCAGAGGCAAUACAUGGCACACAGAGCUGUCAGAUGGCACAAACUUUAGAGUACGCAGAGCUACCCGCUGCAUUCAAGGGUUGAUGCUGAGCCUCAGCACAAUGAGAGAUCAUUCUUUUUGCAGUGCGUUGUGCAGCAAGUGGAUUCACCUAAAGAUAUCAGCCCUGGAUGGAACAGAGAGCAUUCAGAGUCUUGUCAUCCAUUCAGCUGGAUGAAACCCUGUACCGCCCCUUUUCCUAACGUCAUGCAGAUGCCUGCCUAUAUAUUCUUCCAGCAGCACAGCCCUCUCCAGUGCACCGGCCAGCACCCAGCUUUAUUCUUGCCAGCCACUAAAAUAAGCCGCACAUCUACUCUGAAACUCCUGCAAGGCACACAAACAACCUUGUAGUUGUUUUUAGUGAGCAGAACCUAAAGUUCAACUUCUUCAAUGUUGAGGAUGGAAGCAAUUAAUGGGACCAUGGCAAGCCCAGCUGUCAGCUUGUCUGUGGAUCACCCAAGAAAAAUGAGCAGUGGGAAUGACAGCCAUGAGUACUUCUACAUUCUGAUUGUUAUGUCUUUCUAUGGAAUAUUUCUUAUGGGGAUCAUUCUGGUCCACAUGAAAACGAAAAGGAGUGACAAAGAAUACAACUUAUUGCUUCUCUGUAGUGAUGAGGAGAGACAGUGGUAGAAAGACCACCCCUGUUUUGUCAAUACCUAUAUCUCUACAGGCUUCCAGCAUGUUCAGUGCCAUCCAAGAAAACAUGGGCCCUGCUUUCUCCUUUGCUGCCUACAGUAUGGAAGCCAGUAGUCUCAGCUCUGAGUCUUCAACAUCUGAUGUCCACUUAACUAUCCAAGAGGAAUCUCCAGAAGGACUUCUCCAGGAUGUGCCAGAGGUUUAGAAGGAUGAUGACAAACAACAGAUUUCCUAGCAACCUUUCAUGUCUGGACAUAUAGGAAUCUCUAGUAUGUCGAGAUGGGAGACCUAGAUCUCAUGUUGUGUGAUGAGUCUUGUCCUGUGAUGGUCCUGGCAGCUGCAGCACAUACACAACCAUGAGUGCAUGGGAAGAGGAAUAAAAAUAUCUUCCUUUCACCUCUGCUCCCAUUUCCCACAGAUUAUAGAAGACCAUAAAAAGGACAUUUGCCUAAAAGGCCCAAAGGUGGUGACUCUAGGAGGAAGCAACAGACGUGCACCAUAAUCCCAACAAAGUAAUGGAAAUUCUGGCAUUUUUCUUGUUAUUUUGUUAUUCACAAUCGCUGCUUUAUGACUGUGACACCAAAUAGAACAUCUAUGCCUAGGACCUUUUGUAUUUGAAAUGUUGUUAUUUAAAUAAAUGUAUUUUAUUUUAAAAAAAUGCUUUUUUUCUCAUUUAAAAGAAUAAUUAUCAAGAAAUAUCAAUUACAUAAUUUAAUCAUACAUUACAUAGAUAUAUUAUACAGGGAUUAGUCACUGGAGUUCCAUGACCAUAUAAAACCACGAAGGCCAAGUGCAUUCAUACAGGUUAUGGAACACUGAUGAUUUCUAAUAUUCUCAUUUUACAACAGGG